CCUACGGGUGACAGCAGUGAGGAAUAUUGGUCAAUGGGCGCGAGCCUGAACCAGCCAAGUCGCGUGAGGGAAGACGGUCCUAUGGAUUGUACACCUCUUUUGUCGGGGAGCAAAAGACGCCACGCGUGGCGUUCCGAGAGUACCCGAAGAAAAAGCAUCGGCUAACUCCGGGCCAGCCGCCGCGGUAAUACGGAGUAUGCGAGCGUUUUCCGGAUUUAUUUGGUUUAAAGGGUGCGCAGGCGGAAGAUCAAGUCAGCGGUAAAAUUGAGAGGCUCAACCUCUUCGAGCCGUUGAAACUGAUUUUCUUGAGUGAGUGAGAAGUAUGCGGAAUGCGUGGUGUAGCGGUGAAAUGCAUAGAUAUCACGCAGAACCCCGAUUGCGAAGGCAGCAUGCCGGCUUCCGACUGACGCUGAAGCACGAAAGCGUGGGGAUCGAACAGGAUUAGAUACCCCGGUAGUC
rnacentral:rRNA from 1 species